GAGAGGCCUUCCUGUUACAGCCCCCUAGACCCCCACUCCCCCCUCAACGUUUCCUCGCUCCACACCUCUGACCCUGUGCAAGCACCCCAUGCUUCCUGUAUUUUAUACCUGGUGGUUUCAAAUACGUGUACAGAGACACGCGAAUGUGCUCGGGCACAUGCCCAAACAAAAAACGCACAGACUCUUGGAGCGAGUGCUGUAGGCGAACGCCUAUGAAGGCUGGAAAACAGGACCGGUUCUCACAGUCUCCACUGUCAUUCGUCGUGAGCGGGAAUCGAAGUCUGCGUGCCGGGUGACAUCGAUCGAGCAAGGUCGAGUAACAGCUGCGGGAACGGUCCCCCAGACGCUGUUCUAUCGGACCUGGUCUUCACGCACCGCCGAUCCCAGGCUUAAACUAAGUUUUUCGGAUCAAGCAAAAACGGACUUCUGAAGACUCCUGCGGCGCACACAGUCCUGCAAAUUAAGCACUUCAAACGGU